GUGUAAUAAUAGUAUAUGUAUGAUAAGUCAUAAGAUUACAUCGGGUGCUAGUUAUUUAUCUACUGAAAAUAAAUCAAAAUUGCCACUAGCUGCUGUCCACUCAUUCUCAAAGGAUUAUCAGAAACAAAGAAAAAUUGUGAAAGUUGAAGAAAUGUGAUGGGGCUUUAUUGUGGUGCAUGAUGGGUUAAGUUUGAAAAGAAGAUUUUAAUUUAAUUAAAAGAGUUUCCAACAACCUCUCUCGAUGACAAUGGAAUUUGGCUAAAGAAGAAGCAUACAAAGCAUCGACACAAAUGGCCACAACCUACAGUGGACAAUGGAGAAGGAUGCCAUCGAUUUUCUAGAAAAGUUUCGUGUUUUAAAUGUGAGAAAGUUGAAGAAUUAUGAGGAGGAAGGGAAUGUGCUCAAAGAAUGUUUACGUGGCAGAGAGGGAAGCUUUACUAGAGAUGAUGAAGGUCGAGAAGUGUCAGGCGGGUGUUGUCAACUAAAAAAACGGUCUGUCCAUUUUAUUGAUUUAUACUUAAAAAAAGAGGAAGCUCGUGGACGAGUGGAACUUACAUGAGAAAAUUAUUUGGUGCAAUCUCUCUAUCUAUUUUCUUUUUAUUUUUUGUUAUUUAUUUUCUAUUGCAUAUCUUUUUUAAUUGGUAUGAACACACUUUUUUUAGGCAUAGACUCUAAAUUUAUUCAAACUGAUUUUUGUUUCUAAAAAUGAACAAAACCAAUCUAGGAUGAAUUUUCCUUCUCAAAUAAAAACAAAUCGUCUUCAAAGAAAAUAUCGUCUAAAAAUGUGACUUUAUAGGGAGGAUUUACAGAAUUUGAUAGUUUUAUUACAAAAAUAAUUAAAAAUAUACUAAGAGUUGAUAAAAAUUGCACAAUCUUUUUAAGUAGUAUAGUGAUUGAAAUUUACACUUUAAAAAUUAUUGAGUGGAAUAUCGUGGUAGAACUCAUCCCCUUCAUUUUAUUUCUCUGCACAACUUUCAACUGGACUACUUUAGUCACAAAAAUGCACAAUUAAUAUAUUGAUAAAUUUUCAAAAGAUAUAAGUUUAAGCACAAGUUAUUACGUAAUUAUGAAAUAAUGUUUACCUCCAAUUUGUCUCUUUCACUCUCUCUUCUAGAAUUCGAAUUCUGCACUUGUUAUCUUUCACCAACUUCUAUGAAUUUCGAGUUCUGAGCCUAUCGGCAUUUAAAAUUGAAUGAAAUUUUCUAUAAUUCAUAGGUAUUUACUGUUUUUUCCUACACGCACGUGAUCAGAGUGAAAGAGAUGAAAGACUCAAAGAUAGAAAUAGAGUGAGAUUCAUUGACACAAAGAAAAUGUUAUAUCCCAAAAAUUUCCCUAUCUUUCUCCAUUUUAUCUGCAUACUCAUUAUUAUUUAGGACAUUCAUUUAUAAUUGCUUUUUUCAAAUAAGCAUCAUUGAUUCUAGGUUUUUGCUAAUUAUGACAUAAAGAUAUGGAUCAAGUCUCCGUGGAAUCCUAAUUCUUGGACUAUGGUCUUUGGUUACUAUGGAUUGCAUCAUGACAUUGGAAUUGAUUAUAGAGUUCAAGUUUUACCUGGUCAACCAUGAGAAAUUAACUUUGAUGGACUAAUCUCUUUAUGAGCUUGUUCAAUACACUAGUCCAUUAGUUAUUUGGUUUGGAUUCAGGACAAGGCAUUAACAUUGCAAAAUUCAUACAAGAUUCAAGAAUUCAUUCAAGUUCAUAUUCAAAUACAAGAUCAAAUAUUCAAACAUCAAGAUUUGGAGGGAAAUCACUUCUUUCUUGAAUUACAUCAUUUCAAAAAGUCAUUUUUCAUUUCAAAAACAUCCAUUUCACAUUACAAAUCCGAAUUACAAGAGUCUAUACAAAAGUUACAUCAUUU